rnacentral:rRNA from 1 species
AGACCCGAAACCCGGUGAUCUAGCCAUGGGCAGGUUGAAGGUUGGGUAACACUAACUGGAGGACCGAACCGACUAAUGUUGAAAAAUUAGCGGAUGACCUGUGGCUGGGGGUGAAAGGCCAAUCAAACCGGGAGAUAGCUGGUUCUCCCCGAAAGCUAUUUAGGUAGCGCCUCGUGAAUUCAUCUCCGGGGGUAGAGCACUGUUUCGGCUAGGGGGCCAUCCCGGCUUACCAACCCGAUGCAAACUGCGAAUACCGGAGAAUGUUAUCACGGGAGACACACGGCGGGUGCUAACGUCCGUCGUGAAGAGGGAAACAACCCAGACCGCCAGCUAAGGUCCCAAAGUCAUGGUUAAGUGGGAAACGAUGUGGGAAGGCCCAGACAGCCAGGAUGUUGGCUUAGAAGCAGCCAUCAUUUAAAGAAAGCGUAAUAGCUCACUGGUCGAGUCGGCCUGCGCGGAAGAUGUAACGGGGCUAAACCAUGCACCGAAGCUGCGGCAGCGAACGUAUCACCCAAGACAACUUUACGGAGUUGGCGAUUGACGGAGCGAAGCGACGUCAAAGCGUUCAUUAAAGUCGAGUUGGCUUAGGGAUACGUUCGUUGGGUAGGGGAGCGUUCUGUAAGCCUGUGAAGGUGUGUCGUGAGGCAUGCUGGAGGUAUCAGAAGUGCGAAUGCUGACAUAAGUAACGAUAAAGCGGGUGAAAAGCCCGCUCGCCGGAAGACCAAGGGUUCCUGUCCAACGUUAAUCGGGGCAGGGUGAGUCGACCCCUAAGGCGAGGCCGAAAGGCGUAGUCGAUGGGAAACGGGUUAAUAUUCCCGUACUUGGUGUUACUGCGAAGGGGGGACGGAGAAGGCUAUGUUGGCCGGGCGACGGUUGUCCCGGUUUAAGCGUGUAGGUGUGUGUUCCAGGUAAAUCCGGUUCACUUUAACACUGAGGCGUGACGACGAGGCACUACGGUGCUGAAGCAACAAAUGCCCUGCUUCCAGGAAAAGCCUCUAAGCAUCAGGUAACACGAAAUCGUACCCCAAACCGACACAGGUGGUCAGGUAGAGAAUACCAAGGCGCUUGAGAGAACUCGGGUGAAGGAACUAGGCAAAAUGGUGCCGUAACUUCGGGAGAAGGCACGCUGACACGUAGGUGAAGUGAUUUACUCAUGGAGCUGAAGUCAGUCGAAGAUACCAGCUGGCUGCAACUGUUUAUUAAAAACACAGCACUGUGCAAACACGAAAGUGGACGUAUACGGUGUGACGCCUGCCCGGUGCCGGAAGGUUAAUUGAUGGGGUCAGCGCAAGCGAAGCUCCUGAUCGAAGCCCCGGUAAACGGCGGCCGUAACUAUAACGGUCCUAAGGUAGCGAAAUUCCUUGUCGGGUAAGUUCCGACCUGCACGAAUGGCGUAAUGAUGGCCAGGCUGUCUCCACCCGAGACUCAGUGAAAUUGAACUCGCUGUGAAGAUGCAGUGUACCCGCGGCAAGACGGAAAGACCCCGUGAACCUUUACUAUAGCUUGACACUGAACAUUGAGCCUUGAUGUGUAGGAUAGGUGGGAGGCUUUGAAGUGUGGACGCCAGUCUGCAUGGAGCCGACCUUGAAAUACCACCCUUUAAU